CGAGCGUUGUCCGGAAUUAUUGGGCGUAAAGAGCUCGUAGGCGGUCUGUCGCGUCGAUCGUGAAAACUUGGGGCUUAACCCUGAGCUUGCGGUCGAUACGGGCAUGACUGGAGUUCGGCAGGGGAGACUGGAAUUCCUGGUGUAGCGGUGAAAUGCGCAGAUACCAGGAGGAACACCGGUGGCGAAGGCGGGUCUCUGGGCCGAUACUGACGCUGAGGAGCGAAAGCGUGGGGAGCGAACAGG
rnacentral:rRNA from 1 species